GUUUCCGUAGGUGAACCUGCGG
rnacentral:rRNA from 2 species